rnacentral:rRNA from 1 species
GUCGGUGCCCAUGGCGCGAGGGAAACACCUGUUCCCAUCCCGAACACAGCAGUUAAGCCUCGCAGCGGUUACUAUACUUGGCCAAUCAAAGCCUGGGAAAAUAGCACGGUGCCGAAU